AUAGAGUUUGAUCCUGGCUCAGGACGAACGCUGGCGGCGUGCUUAACACAUGCAAGUCGAGCGGAAAGGCCACUUCGGUGGUACUCGAGCGGCGAACGGGUGAGUAACACGUGGGUAAUCUGCCUCUGGCUUCGGGAUAGCCACCGGAAACGGUGAUUAAUACCGGAUAUGACGCAUCACUGCAUGGUGUGUGUGUGGAAAGUUUUUUCGGCCAGGGAUGUGCUCGCGGCCUAUCAGCUUGUUGGUGGGGUAAUGGCCUACCAAGGCUUCGACGGGUAGCCGGCCUGAGAGGGUGACCGGCCACACUGGGACUGAGACACGGCCCAGACUCCUACGGGAGGCAGCAGUGGGGAAUAUUGGACAAUGGGCGGAAGCCUGAUCCAGCAACGCCGCGUGAGGGAUGACGGCCUUCGGGUUGUAAACCUCUUUCAGCACAGACGAAGCGCAAGUGACGGUAUGUGCAGAAGAAGGACCGGCCAACUACGUGCCAGCAGCCGCGGUAAUACGUAGGGUCCGAGCGUUGUCCGGAAUUAUUGGGCGUAAAGGGCUCGUAGGCGGUUUGUCGCGUCGGGAGUGAAAACACCGGGCUUAACUCGGUGCUUGCUUUCGAUACGGGCAGACUAGAGGCAUUCAGGGGAGAACGGAAUUCCUGGUGUAGCGGUGAAAUGCGCAGAUAUCAGGAGGAACACCGGUGGCGAAAGCGGUUCUCUGGGAAUGUCCUGACGCUGAGGAGCGAAAGUGUGGGGAGCGAACAGGAUUAGAUACCCUGGUAGUCCACACCGUAAACGUUGGGCGCUAGG
rnacentral:rRNA from 1 species